GCUGGGCGUGGUGGUGCAUGCCUGUAAUCCCAGCUGCUUGGGAGGCCUAGGCAGGAGGAUAGCAAGUUCAAAGCCAGCCUCAGCAACUUUGAGGGGCUGAGCAACUCAGUGAGACCCUGUCUCUA
rnacentral:sRNA from 1 species